rnacentral:tRNA from 2 species
GCGGGCGUAGCUCAGCGGUAGAGCCCCUGCCUUCCAAGCAGGUUGUCGUGGGUUCAACUCCCAUCGCCCGCUCCA